rnacentral:rRNA from 1 species
AACAUGACACGCGAUUUCGUUGAUGAAGAACGCUGCGAAAUGCGAAACGUAAUGCGAGUUGCAGGAUUCAGUGAGUCAUCAAGAUUUUGAACGCAUAUUGCACUUCCGGGUUGAUGCAGAUCGGCGAGCGACU